CAGAUUUUGAGGAAACUCUGAAAACAUCGACAACAGGCCCACAAUCCUCCACGUCUUCUGCCACACUGACAACCUCAACCCUAACCUCAAGACCUACCACACCUUCGGUCAGAUCAACACCUCUGGUCAGAUCAACACUUGUGGUUAGAUCAACAAUCAAGCCAACCAGAAAGCCAAUUAUUACUGAAUCCCCUGAGCAGACACCCUUAACCUCUGCUCCCCUGGUCCAGACAACACCUUCAACUAGGAUUCCCUCCUCCACCCCCUCUUCCCUUACCCCUUCCUCCACCCAUAUUGCUGCUCCUCUUCCUCACCUUAUCACCUCAAAACCAACUAUAGUCAGUUUUGCCUUUUCUACUUCCGGUCAUGCCUCCAACAUCUCUCUUUCCUCCGAGUCAGUGCUGUCACAGUCUGUGAGCUCUGCAAAACCUUCUCUAGGGGUUGUACCUACUGCACUUGUUGUUGUCAGCAUCAUUAUCCUGCUCCUGACAGCAGCUGGUGCUGUGUGGUACUACACAUUGAAAAGGAAUAUUUUCACCUUUUGGUCUCAGGGGCAGCAGAGAGACGACAUAGAGACGGAGAUGUGGAAGCACACCAACAGUGAGAUGAAUCUACACAGCCAGGGUGGAGCAGAGGAAGACGAUGAAGAAGAAGAAUCAUACAGGAAGUACUCCAGUGAUAUCACGCUGUGUGUGCAUCCAGGUAUCAAAGCAAACUUUUCAGAGUAGCCUCAGGACAUUUCUUUAGGUGCUUUGUGAAAGUUAAUAGAAUGAUAAACAGCACUGAUAUAAGCCAGUCUAUGUCUGAAAGUGUUAGAAAUGCUCUGAUUGGUAUAUUAUCAAAGUAAUUGUAAAUAUGCACAUGGUGUUCCUUCUUGUUCAAUUAUGAUGUUGUUGCACUGCAGGAUGAAUUUGGAAUCUAUCAGAUGCCUCCCUGAUAGGUUUGUGUGAUCUAAAGAUCUAAAGUGCACAAAUCUUUUGAACAUUAUUGUACUUAUUGUGUCCUUUUUCUAUAAACAUAGUUAUUGAGAUUGAAAAGCUGCAGCUAUCCAGUGUUUGCGUGCAUAAGCAUAUGAAUUUCCAC
ensembl:lncRNA